rnacentral:rRNA from 1 species
UUCUCCGCGAAAUCUAUUUAGGUAGAGCGUCAUGUAUCACUACUGGGGGUAGAGCACUGUCUCGGCUAGGGGGUCAUCCCGACUUACCAACCCGAUGCAAACUCCGAAUACCUGUGAGUACUAUCCGGGAGACACACGGCGGGUGCUAACGUCCGUCGUGGAAAGGGAAACAACCCAGACCGCCAGCUAAGGUCCCAAAAUCACAGUUAAGUGGGAAACGAUGUGGGAAGGCACAGACAGCUAGGAGGUUGGCUUAGAAGCAGCCAUCCUUUAAAGAAAGCGUAAUAGCUCACUAGUC